AACCACAGAGUACACUUGUCUGGGUCUCAGUUUCGUCAUCUCUAUAAUGAAGGGUUGGACUAAAUGACCCUUAACAUCUGUUUAACUCUGAGAUUCUGACAAUUAACAGCAAAACAAUGAGGAUCAAGAAAGUCUACACACGGUGAUGCAAAGCAAGGCGACUGGGUGGACACAUCCAACAGUCCUUCUUAGACUUCAGCUGCUCAGAGAAAGUACCUGAUGCUGAAAGGCAGGAAAUUGAACAAUGUCACCCAAAUAUGCCUUGUGUCAUGCACUGUUACAGCUGUAAGCUUUGGAUGCGAAUCCUGCCAGAUUGUGGCAUGGCACUCAACCCCUCAAUAAGAAGUCACCACCAGUCCCAUUCGGCACUGUGAGAACUCCAGCCAACAUCUCAAACCUGGUCCUUGCUCCGAGGAGCUGAUAAUGGUUUCUCUUCCAUUCUCCCAAACCAAGUAUCCACUUAGAAAGCUGGAAGUUUCUUCUUAGAAACUUCUCUGUUGCAAGAAUCUUCAGAAGCCUGGAUUCUGAACAGUCUCGCCUAAAAAUUUCUAGAAUUAACUUCCUUUCUUCUAUGACUGUCGGUGUGCUCUAUCAAAGAAGCCAGUGCCUCCCAUUGGACAAACUCGACUAGAAGACACAAGUACCCAGGAAUGCAGUUUGAAAGUAUUUAGAACAGUGCCUGGUACCUAGAAGAUGUUCUGAAUAACAUGUAGAAGGAUGGCCUCCAAGAAUAAGACAAGAGGAGACAUGUGUCAAAAUUCAAGAGUGAGCCAGAAGAUUCCUGUACCGAGGACAAUCCUUUCACUACAAGAAGAAAUUCAGAAGCAUAGCUCUAGAACUGAUGAGCAUGCUAAAGUGUUCUAUCAUUAUUUGUACUCCAUCUUAAAGUAAUCCGGAUGGCAUAAGGAUUCAGAUGGGAAAUCUUUAAGCCCAUUACUUUGAUUUAAUUAUGGACACAAAAUGAAAAUAUGGACUUUGGAGAGAAAGAGCCUUAGAAGAAGGAUUACUUGCCCUG